AUUGGCCCGAUCUGUUUGUCUGUGUUCUUCGAUCUUCCUCCUUGGCCUCGGCCUCAAGGAAAAGGAGAAGGAUCAAUUCACCAACAUCAUUACAUAAUAUAUAUAUUAGAAGAAUCUAUAAGUUAAGGAAAGUCAAAGGCACAUUAUUCAAUUCCUCGAUCUUGCAGCUACCAUGGCGGAACGUAUUCGUACGAGACCAGGGGUAGAGGUAGAGCAUUAUCUAAGUUUAGGGAUUGGGAUGUGAAUAAUCCAUCAACAGCUAAGGAAUGAGAGAAGGAGCGGUGCUAAUGGAUCAUCAUAAUAACCAAGUCCCAUUAUAAAAAAUGGUUUUGCUGCAUAAACACAUCUGCAGAAUCAUCAUCAAUUACCUAUUCCGGAUUUCUGGAGCUACCUAGCUUCAUUAAAGCUAUAUAUAUAUAUAUUGUACGUUCUUGGGCUUUAUUAGGAAUCAUCAGUAUUUAUUGCAUCAUAUACUUCUCUCUGUAUUCUUUACAGUAGAGUUUGAUAUUUGUGUAUAAACUAUAUACUUAUUUAUUCAAUCGAC